rnacentral:rRNA from 1 species
GCAAGUCGAGCGCCCCACUUGUGGGGAGCGGCGCACGGGUGAGUAACGCGUGGGAAUGUACCUUUUAGUUCGGAAUAGCCUCGGGAAACUGGGAUUAAUACCGUAUACGCCCUUCGGGGGAAAGAUUUAUCGCUAAAAGAUCAGCCCGCGUGACAUUAGCUAGUUGGUAGGGUAAUGGCCUACCAAGGCGACGAUGUCUAGCUGGUCUGAGAGGAUGAUC